GACAGUACACAUUGUUCAGCCAACAUUAUUACUUUGGGAGCCAGAUUGAGAGUGCGGUGAGCAAGCUUAGCAAGUACUAAGAAGCCUUAAACACUCCAGAGGAGUCCACCUUGGUAAAAAAGGACUGUACUCAAUCUUACUGUC
rnacentral:other from 3 species